rnacentral:rRNA from 1 species
CAGCCGCCACGGUAAUACGUAGGGUGCGAGCGUCAAUCGGAAUUACUGGGCGUAAAGCGUGCGCAGGCGGUUGUGUAAGACAGGUGUGAAAUCCCCGGGCUUAACCUGGGAACUGCGCUUGUGACUGCACAGCUAGAGUAUGGCAGAGGGGGGUGGAAUUCCACGUGUAGCAGUGAAAUGCGUAGAGAUGUGGAGGAACACCGAUGGCGAAGGCAGCCCCCUGGGCCAAUACUGACGCUCAUGCACGAAAGCGUGGGGAGCAAACAGGAUUAGAUACCCCCGUAGUCCCUGUCUCUUAUAC